rnacentral:rRNA from 1 species
UUGAAUUCUCAACAUGAGAGUUUGAUCCUGGCUCAGAACGAACGCUGGCGGCAGGCUUAACACAUGCAAGUCGAGCGCCCCGCAAGGGGAGCGGCAGACGGGUGAGUAACGCGUGGGAACGUACCCUUUACUACGGAAUAACGCAGGGAAACUUGUGCUAAUACCGUAUGUGCCCUCUGGGGGAAAGAUUUAUCGGUAAAGGAUCGGCCCGCGUUGGAUUAGCUAGUUGGUGGGGUAAAGGCCUACCAAGGCGACGAUCCAUAGCUGGUCUGAGAGGAUGAUCAGCCACAUUGGGACUGAGACACGGCCCAAACUCCUACGGGAGGCAGCAGUGGGGAAUAUUGGACAAUGGGCGCAAGCCUGAUCCAGCCAUGCCGCGUGAGUGAUGAAGGCCCUAGGGUUGUAAAGCUCUUUCACCGGAGAAGAUAAUGACGGUAUCCGGAGAAGAAGCCCCGGCUAACUUCGUGCCAGCAGC